CCUACGGGAGGCAGCAGUGGGGAAUAUUGGACAAUGGGGGCAACCCUGAUCCAGCCAUGCCGCGUGUGUGAAGAAGGCCCUCGGGUUGUAAAGCACUUUCAGUGAGGAAGAACGCCUGGUGGUUAAUACCCAUCAGGAAAGACAUCACUCACAGAAGAAGCACCGGCUAACUCCGUGCCAGCAGCCGCGGUAAUACGGAGGGUGCGAGCGUUAAUCGGAAUUACUGGGCGUAAAGCGCGCGUAGGUGGCUUGAUAAGCCGGUUGUGAAAGCCCCGGGCUCAACCUGGGAACGGCAUCCGGAACUGUCAAGCUAGAGUGCAGGAGAGGAAGGUAGAAUUCCCGGUGUAGCGGUGAAAUGCGUAGAGAUCGGGAGGAAUACCAGUGGCGAAGGCGGCCUUCUGGACUGAUACUGACACUGAGGUGCGAAAGCGUGGGUAGCAAACAGGAUUAGAUACCCCGGUAGUC
rnacentral:rRNA from 1 species